rnacentral:rRNA from 1 species
CUACGGAGGGUCCAAGCGUUAUCCGGAAUCAUUGGGUUUAAAGGGUGCGCAGGCGGUUUAUUAAGUCAGUGGUGAAAUCUCGGGGCUCAACCUCGAAACUGCCAUUGAUACUGAUAAACUUGAGUUCAGUUGGAGUAGGCGGAAUGUGUAGUGUAGCGGUGAAAUGCUUAGAUAUUACACAGAACACCGAUAGCGAAGGCAGCUUACUAAACUGAUACUGACGCUGAGGCACGAAAGCGUGGGGAGCGAACAGGAUUAGAUACCCUAGUAGUCC